AUAAAGAGAAAAUACACAUUUCCAUUUCUGCCUUCUAUGCACAUAUUAAAAUUCAAUUUAUUCUUUUAAUAAAGAUCAUAUUAAAGUUAUGAUCUUUAUUGUUGUGCUUGAAAAUUAACCUUCAAAAUAGUUUUCAUAGCUAAUCAUCAAUAGCUUACAUCAGCGGGUCAUCAUCCAUCAUAAACAAAUUCCUCUGCUGAUGAAUGCCAUUAGAGGUGGUUGAAAUAAAAGCUCUGAAACAAAUCUUGUAAAUGGACCUUAAGUCGAUAAUUAGUAACAAGUGAAACAUAUCCAAGUUAUUUACUUGUGUAACGUUCUUGCAUUUCAGUGCUAAACAUAGGAAUCUGCUUACGACAAUAGCCAGAAAGAGAGAAAAAUUGAGAAAAAGUGUAAUAACACUGUACUAGCUAACAAAAUCAGUCAAGAGUUGCAUUUAAUCAUCACAGACCAGUUAUAUUAAAAAAAUUCAUGUUUUUCAUAGGUAUCUGAGCUUUCAUUAACCACCUGACAUAUGAACAUCUUGGUCCUCUGCACGCCCUCUGUUUAAAGUGUAUGUUCUCAGACAGCAGGACCGUUCAUCAAGUAAAAGAUGUUUGUUUUGCAUUCAGUAUUUUUUUCCACAGGUGAAGUUUGCCACAACUGUUGGAACAGCUGAUAACUGCACAGGUCCUUCCCAGUUUCCUAGACAUUGUUGUAAAAAGUAAUGUUACAUUGAAAGUUAAGGGAAAAAUAGAAAAUUGUCCAUUCUUAGGGCAGCAUUGUAUUCAAACAUAUUGUGGAGACGCCGCCUCAGUAAUGGCAACUUGUUUACUUCCGGUCCUUCCCCUGAUUUGUGUAUAGUAUGAACUUGUUGGCUAGGUUAUUUGUGAGAUAUUUGAAAAAAACAUUCUUGAAUGAAGUGUUCAUUCACUGUCAGUUCCUGCGCCAUGUGCCAACUGUGUGCAUCAGAAAAUCCCCUGCAAUCUUUGUUUUGGCUAGUGUGAGGCGGCAAGUGAUUAUCCGGAGUGCUUUCGGAAGUUAAUGUUCAUGGUCUGCACAGCGGGAUUCUCGGAGUGAUGACAGAGGAAGUGCCUCAGGGCGAGCGUCUCUUCGCUGCCAUCUCACUUUCACUGUUUGUGACAACGCGUUUACCCCAACAGAUGGCUCCAAUGCUCACACAGAGACAGUGCGAGGCUAUGAAGAACUGCGUGGGCUGAUACAACACAACGAUGUGCAAAAAAAUCCAAAACCAACUAGUGUGAAUUAAUGUAAAAUUGACUAAUGGGAUCUCAACAGUCAGCAAUGUGUUGGAAUAACUUGGUCAAAGGGCUCCGUCAUGCUUACUCC
rnacentral:lncRNA from 15 species